AUCGCUAGUAAUCGCGGAUCAGAAUGCCGCGGUGAAUACGUUCCCGGGUCUUGUACACACCGCCCGUCACACCAUGGGAGUCAGUAACGCCCGAAGUCAGUGACCUAACUGCAAAGAAGGAGCUGCCGAAGGCGGGACCGAUGACUGGGGUGAAGUCGUAACAAGGUAGCCGUAUCGGAAGGUGCGGCUGGAUCACCUCCUUCUAAGGAA
rnacentral:rRNA from 1 species